AAUGGUCAAUUGGUCCAAAUCAUUUGGUUGAGUAAGCGAAUGCUUUUAUUCAAGUGGGUCAAGAGGUUCAAAAUCCAUGAUCUUUUAAAGUGGUUUACUCUCAAAACAAGUAGCCUUGACAUUGCACAUAAUAUAUCUAAGAAAUGGACCAACUCAUGCAUACAAUGCUCAAUCUCUAUUGUUCUACCCUUUUCCCAAACAUACAGGUUACACAAUCACUUCCCAAUGUCAGACCCAACUCUCAUCUCUCACCAAAAGAUCCCAAGAAUACUUUGCACAUAAAACUCUUUUUCUUUGAAAUCUAUAAAGGAUUUUCUCAACUUCUAAACAAAUCUUAGCUCUAAACAACUUUGCUAGCCCCCUUUUUCUUUCUUUUUCUCUUUUUUUUUCUUAUAUAUAUAUAUUUUUUUUUUCGGGGGCCAAGACUUUUCAUAAACUCGAGCUAGACGUUUAUCUAUUAAUUCCAAUAAGAUUAUCCAUUUAAACACAAAGAGUCUAUUCUUUUCCUUUGAACUUUUCAUG
rnacentral:lncRNA from 1 species